CACGGGUGAGUAACGCGUAUCCAACCUGCCGUCUACUCUUGGACAGCCUUCUGAAGGAAGAUUAAUACAAGAUGGCAUCAUGAGUCCGCAUGUUCACAUGAUUAAAGGUAUUCCGGUAGACGAUGGGGAUGCGUUCCAUUAGAUAGUAGGCGGGGUAACGGCCCACCUAGUCUUCGAUGGAUAGGGGUUCUGAGAGGAAGGUCCCCCACAUUGGAACUGAGACACGGUCCAA
rnacentral:rRNA from 1 species